rnacentral:rRNA from 1 species
UACAGAGGGGGCAAGCGUUGUUCGGAAUUACUGGGCGUAAAGGGCGCGUAGGCGGCCUUCUAAGUCGAACGUGAAAUCCCCGGGCUCAACCCGGGAACUGCGUCCGAGACUGGAAGGCUUGAAUCCGGGAGAGGGAUGUGGAAUUCCAGGUGUAGCGGUGAAAUGCGCAGAUAUCAGGAGGAACACCAAUGGCGAAGGCAGCUCGCUGGGACGGUACUGACGCUGAGGCGCGAAAGCGUGGGGAGCAAACAGG